UCCUUGUUAUAGUAUUGUUGUUGCUGCUGCUGCCAUGUCGUAUAGACGCUGUGUGUUUCAAUGUGAAAGUGAAACUACUUUGUUUGGCCUUCCAAAAGAGCAAGAUAUCUGCUUUGUCAUGCCAGGAGCUGAUCAGUGCUGGUCGCUGAGGAAAUACAUCAACUUUGCACUGUGGAUCGCCAAAUCGGCUUUCACCGUGGACGAAGUGGAGUCCAGCCCGGGGUCAUCACAUGUGGUUGCUGCAAGACCAAGGAGUUGGCGAUAGUGGAACACUACCAGGAACCAAACCAUUAAAACCUACAGGCAUUGGACGUGGAGAUACUCCGGGCACCAUUGAAGGAGGACCUGGAAGUCUAGGUGGUGGUCCAUGUGGGGUUGGUGGUGAGCCAGGUGGAGUUCCGGGAGGAGUUGGUGGUGGGGCAGGUGGAGUUCCGGGAGGAGUUGGUGGUGGUCCAGGUGGAGUUCCGGGAGGAGUUGGUGGUGGGGCAGGUGGAGUUCCGGGAGGAGUUGGUGGUGGGGCAGGUGGAGUUCCGGGAGGAGUUGGUGGUGGGGCAGGUGGAGUUGGUGGAGUUCCAGGAGGAGUUAAACCCCCUUUAGUUUACAGCGUUACAGGUGGAACUGGAGCUCUUGGAGUUGGAGGUGUAGGUGGAACGGGUCCAGCUGGAGUGGGAGGAGUUGGACUUCUGCCAGGAGGUUAUGAAGGAGCAGGAGGUUUAGGAGCUGGUGGGAUCCAACCAGGAACUGGCCUCAGGUUCCCCAGUGGGGCUACAGUGGGCAGCAAAUAAGAAAAAGUUUAUGGGGCAGCAGGCACACUUGGUGGGCUUGGAGGCCCAGGCGGAUAUGGAACAGGACCCUUUGGCUAUGGAGGUGGUCCAGGUGGUUAUGGUGGUGGCCCAGGCAGUGCUGGUGGACUUGGAGGGCCUGGAAUUGGUGGUGCCAGAUAUCCAGGUGGUGGCCUGGGAGCUAAAGCUGGGAAACCUGGGAAAUCAGUUCUUGUUUUAUAAAAUAAUAAUAUAAUUGUGACUUAUUAAUACAAUGUCAUUACAUUAGCUUAGGGGCCUGAAUAUAAUGAUAAACCUACUAAUCGGGCUCAGAAGAUGGUAGUGGGAGAGCUCUUGUGAAAAAAAGUGUUAACUGUAUUUAAAGGGGUCAUAUGACAAUGUUGUGUAUUUCAUGUAAUGCAAUGUGUUUAUGCGGUUUAAGGUUAAAAAAACAUUAUUUUCCACAUACUGUAC